rnacentral:rRNA from 1 species
GAAGGGGGCUAGCGUUGUUCGGAAUUACUGGGCGUAAAGCGCGCGCAGGCGGUCCUUCAAGUCAGGGGUGAAAGCCCAGAGCUCAACUCUGGAACUGCCCUUGAGACUGUGGGACUUGGGUACGGGAGAGGUGAGUGGAAUUCCGAGUGUAGAGGUGAAAUUCGUAGAUAUUCGGAAGAACACCAGUGGCGAAGGCGGCUCACUGGCCCGUUACCGACGCUCAGGCGCGACAGCGUGGGGAGCAAACAGGAUUAGAUACCCUGGUAGUCCACGCCGUAAACGAUGGAUGCUAGCCGUUGGUAAGCAUGCUUAUCAGUGGCGCAGCUAACGCAUUAAGCAUCCCGCCUGGGGAGUACGGCCGCAAGGUUG